GAUGAAGAACGCAGCGAAAUGCGAUAAGUAAUGUGAAUUGCAGAAUUCAGUGAAUCAUCGAAUCUUUGAACGCACCUUGCGCUCCUUGGUAUUCCGAGGAACAUGCCUGUUUGAGUGUCAUUAAAUUCUCAACCUCACCUGGUUUUCUAACCUGUGUGAUGGCUUGGACUUGGGAGCAUUGCAGGCUGCAGUCUAACUGCGGUUUGCUCUCCUUAAAUGUAUUAGCAGGUCUUGUACCUCUAUCCCAACGGUGUGAUAAUCUAUCUACGCUGCUGGUUUGGAGACCCUUUACUGGGGGACUGGCUUCUAACCGUCUGCAAAGACAAAUGACCAAUCUUGACCUCAAAUCAGGUAGGACUACCCGCUGAACUUAAGCAUAUCAAUAAGCGGAGGA
rnacentral:misc_RNA from 1 species